AAGAGACAGCAGUAGCCACGGUAAUUCGUAGGGUGCGAGCGUUAAUCGGAAUUACUGGGCGUAAAGCGUGCGCAGGCGGUUGUGUAAGACAGGUGUGAAAUCCCCGGGCUUAACCUGGGAACUGCGCUUGUGACUGCACAGCUAGAGUAUGGCAGAGGGGGGUGGAAUUCCACGUGUAGCAGUGAAAUGCGUAGAGAUGUGGAGGAACACCGAUGGCGAAGGCAGCCCCCUGGGCCAAUACUGACGCUCAUGCACGAAAGCGUGGGGAGCAAACAGGAUUAGAUACCCCUGUAGUCCCUGUCUCUUAUAC
rnacentral:rRNA from 1 species